GAUGAACGCUGGCGGCGUGCCUAAUACAUGCAAGUAGAACGCUGAAGGAGGAGCUUGCUCUUCUGGAUGAGUUGCGAACGGGUGAGUAACGCGUAGGUAACCUGCCUGGUAGCGGGGGAUAACUAUUGGAAACGAUAGCUAAUACCGCAUGACAACAGUUAUUGCAUGAUAACUGUUUAAAAGGGGCAACUGCUCCACUACCAGAUGGACCUGCGUUGUAUUAGCUAGUUGGUGAGGUAACGGCUCACCAAGGCGACGAUACAUAGCCGACCUGAGAGGGUGAUCGGCCACACUGGGACUGAGACACGGCACAGACUCCGACGGGAGGCAGCAGUAGGGAAUCUUCGGCAAUGGACGGAAGUCUGACCGAGCAACGCCGCGUGAGUGAAGAAGGUUUUCGGAUCGUAAAGCUCUGUUGUAAGAGAAGAACGAGUGUGAGAGUGGAAAGUUCACACUGUGACGGUAUCUUACCAGAAAGGGACGGCUAACUACGUG
rnacentral:rRNA from 1 species